UAGGGGAGCAUUGUAGUGUCGUCGAAGGUGUACCGUGAGGUAUGCUGGAGAAGCUACAAAAGAAAAUGUAGGCAUAAGUAACGAUAAUGCGGGCGAGAAACCCGCACACCGAAAGACUAAGGUUUCCUCAGCUAUGCUAAUCAGCUGAGGGUUAGUCGGGACCUAACGCGAACCCGAAAGGGGUAGUGGAUGGACAACGGGUUAAUAUUCCCGUACCUGCUCACGUUAAAAGUGACGGAUCUCCGUGGUUGCUGCGUACUGACGGAAUAGUACGUUGAAGCGCAAGCGAUAGUACACUGAGGCUACGGCCAAGGUGAUAAUGCAGCGAAGGAGGUUCCAAGAAAAGCGAGUGAAGCAGCCCGUACCGUAAACCGACACAGGUAGUUGGGAUGAGAAUUCUAAGGUGCUCGAGAGAUUCAUGGCUAAGGAACUAGGCAAAAUGGUCUCGUAACUUCGGGAGAAGAGACGCCAACUUCGGUUGGCCGCAGUGAAUAGGCCCAGGCGACUGUUUAUCAAAAACACAUGGCUUUGCAAAAUCGAAAGAUGAAGUAUAAGGCCUGACACCUGCCCGGUGCCGGAAGGUUAAGUGGAGAUGUUAGCUUCGGCGAAGCAUUCAAAUGAAGCCCCGGUAAA
rnacentral:rRNA from 1 species